AUUGAACGCUGGCGGCAUGCCUUACACAUGCAAGUCGAGCGGCAGCAUGGAGAGCUUGCUCUCUGAUGGCGAGUGGCGAACGGGUGAGUAAUGCAUCGGAACGUACCGUGUAAUGGGGGAUAACGUAGCGAAAGUUACGCUAAUACCGCAUACGACCUGAGGGUUAAAGUAGGGGACCGCAAGACCUUGCGUUAUCCGAGCGGCCGAUGUCAGAUUAGCGAGUUGGUGAGGGAAAGGCUCACCAAGGCGACGAUCUGUAGCGGGUCUGAGAGGAUGAUCCGCCACACUGGGACUGAGACACGGCCCAGACUCCUACGGGAGGCAGCAGUGGGGAAUUUUGGACAAUGGGGGCAACCCUGAUCCAGCCAUGCCGCGUGAGUGAAGAAGGCCUUCGGGUUGUAAAGCUCUUUCGGCCGGGAAGAAAUCGCACAGGCUAAUACUCUGUGUGGAUGACGGUACCGGCAUAAGAAGCACCGGCUAACUACGUGCCAGCCGCCGCCGUAA
rnacentral:rRNA from 1 species